UGAGGAAUCUUCCGCAAUGGGCGAAAGCCUGACGGAGCAAUCCCGCGUGCAGGAUGACACCCCUCGGGGCGUAAACUGCUUUUAUGAGGGAAGAAAUUUUGACGGUACCUCAUGAAUAAGGGGCGGCUAAUUCCGUGCCAGCAGCCGCGGUAAUACGGAAGCCCCAAGCGUUAUCCGGAAUCACUGGGCGUAAAGCGAUCGAAGGUGGCGAAGUAAGUCUGGUGUUAAAUCCCUCGGCUCAACCGAGGAAUCGUGCCGGAAACUGCUUUGCUAGAGGAAUGCAGGGGUAAGUAGAAUUCCUAUUGUAGGGGUUAAAUCCGUAGAUAAUAGGAGGAAUACCAAAAGCGAAGGCAGCUUACUGGGCAUUUCCUGACACUGCACGAUCGAAAGCGUGGGGAGCAAAACGG
rnacentral:rRNA from 1 species